AGAGUUUGAUCCUGGCUCAGGAUGAACGCUGGCGGCGUGCCUAACACAUGCAAGUCGAGCGAAGCGAUUUUGAGGAAGUUUACGGAUGGAAUUGGAAUUGACUGAGCGGCGGACGGGUGAGUAACGCGUGGGUAACCUGCCUCAUACAGGGGGAUAACAGUUAGAAAUGACUGCUAAUACCGCAUAAGCGCACGGGACCGCAUGGUCUUGUGUGAAAAACUCCGGUGGUAUGAGAUGGACCCGCGUCUGAUUAGGUAGUUGGCGGGGUAGCGGCCCACCAAGCCGACGAUCAGUAGCCGACCUGAGAGGGUGACCGGCCACAUUGGGACUGAGACACGGCCCAAACUCCUACGGGAGGCAGCAGUGGGGAAUAUUGCACAAUGGGGGAAACCCUGAUGCAGCGACGCCGCGUGAGUGAAGAAGUAUUUCGGUAUGUAAAGCUCUAUCAGCAGGGAAGAAAGUGACGGUACCUGAGUAAGAAGCCCCGGCUAACUACGUG
rnacentral:rRNA from 1 species